GUGUUCCCCUAUUAGCUGUGAGUGCACCCCAAUGGGCUGUGGGUGGACCCCUAUUGGCUGUGAGUGCACCCCAAUGGGCUGUGGGUGUACCCCUAUUGGCUGUGAGUAUACCCCAAUGGGCUGUGAGUGCACCCCUAUUAGCUGUGGGUGUACCCCAGUGAGCUGUGAGUGCACCGCAAUGGGCUGUGGGUGUACCCCAAUAGGCUGUGGGUGUACCCCAGUGAGCUGUGAGUGCACCCCUAUGGGCUGUGAGUGAACCUCUAUUAGCUAUGGGGUGUACCCCUAUGGGCUGUGGGUGGACCCCUAUGGGCUGUGGGUGCACCCCUAUGGGCUGUGAGUGGACCCCUAUUGGCUGAUUCCAGGACGAUCUGCGGGGUGCACCCCAUCAACUGCGCGUCGGACCCCAUUCAAUGCGCACUGCACCCCAUCAAC
ensembl:lncRNA